GUGUCAGCCGCCGCGGUAAUACGGAGGGUGCAAGCGUUAAUCGGAAUUACUGGGCGUAAAGCGCACGCAGGUGGCUGAGUCAGUCGGAUGUGAAAGCCCUGGGCUUAACCUGGGAAUUGCAUUCGAUACUACUUAGCUAGAGUAUGGGAGAGGGAAGUGGAAUUCCCGGUGUAGCGGUGAAAUGCGUAGAUAUCGGGAGGAACAUCAGUGGCGAAGGCGGCUUCCUGGCCCAAUACUGACACUCAGGUGCGACAGCGUGGGGAGCAAACAGGAUUAGAUACCCGCGUAGUCC
rnacentral:rRNA from 1 species